rnacentral:rRNA from 1 species
GGGGAAUAUUGCGCAAUGGGGGAAAACCUGACGCAGCAAAACCGCGUGAGUGAAGAAGGUUUUCGGAUCGUAAAACCCUGGUAAUGGGGGAGAAAAAAAAACGGUUACCAAGAAAAAAGUCCCGGCUAACUACGGGCCAGCAGCCGCGGUAAUACGUAGGGGACAAGCGUUGUCCGGAUUUACUGGGCGUAAAGGGCACGCAGGCGGUUUUUUAAGUCAGAUGUGAAAGGUACCGGCUCAACCGGUGACAUGCAUUUGAAACUGAAAGACUUGAGUAUUGGAGAGGCAAGUGGAAUUCCUAGUGUAGCGGUGAAAUGCGUAGAUAUUAGGAGGAACACCGGUGGCGAAGGCGGCUUGCUGGACAAAUACUGACGCUGAGGUGCGAAAGCGUGGGGAGCAAACA